GAGCACGUAGGUGGGUUUGUAAGUCAGGUGUGAAAGCCUUCUGUUCAACGGAAGAAUUGCAUCUGAAACUGCGAGUCUUGAGUGUAGGAGGGGAGAAUGGAACUUCUGGUGGAGCGGUGAGAUGCGUAGAUAUCAGAAGGAACGCCGGCGGCGAAAGCGAUUCUCUGGCCUAUUACUGACACUCAGUGUGCGAAAGCUAGGGGAGCAAACGGGAUAGAUACCCCGGUAGUCCUAGCCGUAAACGAUGGGCACUAAGUAGAGGGG
rnacentral:rRNA from 1 species